rnacentral:rRNA from 1 species
CACGUGGGUAACCUGCCCAUCAGAAGGGGAUAACACUUGGAAACAGGUGCUAAUACCGUAUAACAAUCGAAACCGCAUGGUUUUGAUUUGAAAGGCGCUUUCGGGUGUCGCUGAUGGAUGGACCCGCGGUGCAUUAGCUAGUUGGUGAGGUAACGGCUCACCAAGGCCACGAUGCAUAGCCGACCUGAGAGGGUGAUCGGCCACAUUGGGACUGAGACACGGCCCAAACUCCUACGGGAGGCAGCAGUAGGGAAUCUUCGGCAAUGGACGAAAGUCUGACCGAGCAACGCCGCGUGAGUGAAGAAGGUUUUCGGAUCGUAAAACUCUGUUGUUAGAGAAGAACAAGGAUGAGAGUAACUGUUCAUCCCUUGACGGUAUCUAACCAGAAAGCCACGGCUAACUACGUGCCAGCAGCCGCGGUAAUACGUAGGUGGCAAGCGUUGUCCGGAUUUAUUGGGCGUAAAGCGAGCGCAGGCGGUUUCUUAAGUCUGAUGUGAAAGCCCCCGGCUCAACCGGGGAGGGUCAUUGGAAACUGGGAGACUUGAGUGCAGAAGAGGAGAGUGGAAUUCCAUGUGUAGCGGUGAAAUGCGUAGAUAUAUGGA